rnacentral:lncRNA from 1 species
CCCGCGCCGGGUCCGCCCUGACUUGACGAGGCCCGGUGGAGAUGGUUCCGGUACUCUUGAGCUGGUGACCCCGGCGGCCCAGAGCAGCUGGGGGAGGGGAGGAGGUUCCGUGCGGCGCUGCCAGCGCGCCGGCGCCGCUAUCUUCCAGCUUGGUGUGAGGGCACGGGCACGUGGUUGGAAGAAGGUGUCCUUGGAGUUGUUGUGGCCAAGUGGAAGACAGCCUGCCUGAGACUGAAGAGGAAAGAGCAGAGCCAAGAGGUGGAGAGGGAGCAAGUCUGAAGAAGUAAGUCCCCAACUUAUGAAUUAGUUCCAUUCUGGGAGAAUAUUCAUAGUUUGAAUUCAUUU